AAUCAACGCUGGCGGCGUGCCUAACACAUGCAAGUCGAGCGAGAAAGGGGCUUCGGCCCUGAGUAAAGCGGCGCACGGGUGAGUAACACGUGGGUAAUCUGCCCUAGAGUGGGGAAUAACACCGGGAACCGGUGCUAAUACCGCAUACGAUCACGAUGUUUUCGUAAUGUUGUGAUAGAAAGGAGCAAUUCGCUCUUGGAGGAGCCCGCGGCUGAUUAGCUAGUUGGGAGGUAAUGGCUCACCAAGGCUACGAUCAGUAUCCGGUCGUGAGAGGACGGUCGGACACACUGGAACUGAGACACGGUCCA
rnacentral:rRNA from 1 species